rnacentral:lncRNA from 1 species
AUCGUCCUUCCUUCUCAAAACCUUUGAAAGACUAGUAGGGCUGCAGCUGAGGACAACAAUUAAUCCUCAGUGGCUGUCAGGCGCCCAACAUGCCUACCGAAAAGGGAAAUCCACGGAAACGGCACUCCAUGAAGUAAUCUCGGCGGUAGAGAAAUCUCUACACGUCAAAGAAUACUCCUUAAUCGCUUUCCUAGACAUUGAGGGAGCUUUUAACAAUGUCAUACCGGAAGCCAUCACAGAGGCCCUGACUGACCUGGGAGUGGAUUGUCACUUGGUGAUGCUCAUAGAUCAAUUGCUCACAUGCAGGACAGUGACAUCAUCAAUGGGAUCGUCCACUCAGUCAAGGUAUGUCAACAGAGGCA